GACGAACGCUGGCGGCGUGCUUAACACAUGCAAGUCGAACGGAAAGACCCUGCUUUUGUUGGUUUCUCGAUUGCCGAACGGGUGAGUGACACGUGUGUAUCCUGCCCUUGUCUUUCGGAUAUCUUCAGGAAACUGCGGCUCAUACCCUAUAUGAUCUCCUGCUCCGUGGUGGGCGUUGGAAAGUUUCGGCGGUUGUGGCUGGACUCGCGGCUUAUCCGCUUGUUGGUGGGGUAGUUGCUUACCAAGGCUUUGACGGAUAGCCUGCCUGAGAGGGUGACCGGCGACAAGGGGACUGAGAGAGGGAGCAGAAGGGUACGGGAGGCAGCAGGGGGGAGUAUUGCACAAUGGGCGGGAGCGUGAGGCAGAGGCGCUGCGUGCGGGAUGACGGCUUUCGGGGGGAAAACAGCUUUGGAAUGUGACGAAGCGUGAGUGACGGUAAUGGGUAAAGAAGCACCGGCUAACUACGUG
rnacentral:rRNA from 1 species